rnacentral:tRNA from 1 species
GCUGGGGUUUUUAAAAGUGGUCGAAUUUAAUCAAUCCCCAAUUAAGCUGGCUCGGAUGACUCAAAAUCAUCCGCCUUCACGGGCGUGUCGGUUCGACUCCGACCUUCGGCACCA